rnacentral:lncRNA from 1 species
UUUGCGAUAAGGUGAAAUGACUUUCAAUGUGUUGUAAAAAAAAUUGAAAAUGAAAAAAGAGAAAAAAUGAUAUCUUAGGAAAAGGGGAUCUCCCUACCACCUAGCCAGAAGCAUGCAAAAGAAAAUCAAACCAAUUGGCGGCCAUCCUUUUAGCCUAUCCUUUUUCAUGCCCACUACCUCUUCCAAACAAAACCCCAUCCGAAAAAAAAAAAAAAAAACAAUAAAAACUGGGGCAGCUUUGUCAAUUUCACCACGUGUCUUCGCCCUAAAAUAUAUCAACCCAUAAUCCCAAGACCGGGGCAACUUUGCAAGUCUCACUUGAUUUUUGUACCCUAAUUUUCAUGGAUCCAUACCCUAUGCCCAUAUUCCCUAACACCAAGCUGGGGCACACUUUGGGUAUCUCGUGUUCCACCUUGACACUCUCAUAUUACAUCUCUUCGAGGAUAGUGUUAGGAAUGAUGUGCCCACAUGGCUAUCCCAGUCUUCUCCAAACCCUUUUAAACAUCUCUAAUUUUUCACUUGUCUUUGAAUUGAAGCAUGUGCGCA